rnacentral:rRNA from 1 species
AAGUUUCCUACGGGAAGCAGCAGUGGGGAAUAUUGGACAAUGGGCGGAAGCCUGAUCCAGCCAUGCCGCGUGUGUGAAGAAGGCCUUUUGGUUGUAAAGCACUUUAAGCGAGGAGGAGGCUACUAGUACUAAUACUACUGGAUAGUGGACGUUACUCGCAGAAUAAGCACCGGCUAACUCUGUGCCAGCAGCCGCGGUAAUACAGAGGGUGCGAGCGUUAAUCGGAUUUACUGGGCGUAAAGCGUGCGUAGGCGGCUUUUUAAGUCGGAUGUGAAAUCCCCGAGCUUAACUUGGGAAUUGCAUUCGAUACUGGGAAGCUAGAGUAUGGGAGAGGAUGGUAGAAUUCCAGGUGUAGCGGUGAAAUGCGUAGAGAUCUGGAGGAAUACCGAUGGCGAAGGCAGCCAUCUGGCCUAAUACUGACGCUGAGGUACGAAAGCAUGGGGAGCAAACAGGAUUAGAUACCCUGGUAGUCCAUGCCGUAAACGAUGUCUACUAGCCGUUGGGGCCUUUGAGGCUUUAGUGGCGCAGCUAACGCGAUAAUGUAGCAAUCUCUGGGGAAAUCCGUCG